GAUGUCAUGAGUCCGCAGGUGCUGCUUUUCCGCUUUGCCGGCCAAGUAAAUGGAAGACACGGCAAUCAGUACAGAUCUCAAAGCAAGGCUUGUUGGACAAAUAAAUGAAGAUGAGCCCAAGAGCCCAGGAGAGGGACCGGGAACAGCAGGGCCUCCGUGACUCACACAAGCUUCAUCCCUGAACCAAGGAUGCAGCCUGCCAACAAUGGCCCCAAGCCACACCCCGCCACAGGGGGAACUGAUGCUGCGGUGAGAAGUGACAGCUUUCUGUUGACUUUUUUUUUUUAAACAGAAUAUGAAUUGAGACAUAAUUUCAUUUUCAUAAUCAGAACCUAACACUUAGUAACUAA
rnacentral:antisense_RNA from 1 species